rnacentral:rRNA from 1 species
UACGUAGGGGGCAAGCGUUGUCCGGAUUUAUUGGGCGUAAAGAGCGUGUAGGCGGUCUGGUAGGUCCGUUGUGAAAACUCGAGGCUCAACCUCGAGACGCCGAUGGAAACCAUCAGACUAGAGUCCGGAAGAGGAGACUGGAAUUCCUGGUGUAGCGGUGGAAUGCGCAGAUAUCAGGAGGAACACCGGUGGCGAAGGCGGGUCUCUGGGCCAUUACUGACGCUGAGGAGCGAAAGCGUGGGGAGCGAACAGG